GACGAACGCUGGCGGCGUGCCUGACACAUGCAAGUCGGACGGUUCUUGCACCUUCAAGCUUGCUUGCUGGUGCAGGGAUAGUGGCGGACGGGUGAGUAACGCGUGAACAUCUACCCAUUGGAGGGGGACAACCCGUCGAAAGGCGGGCUAAUACCGCGUAAGCCGUGAGGUGAGAGGCUGCCUAUUGGUGGCCGCCGAUGGAUGGGUUCGCGUCCUAUCAGCUGGUUGGUGGGGUAACGGCCUACCAAGGCGAAGACGGGUAGCCGGUCUGAGAGGAUGGCCGGCCACACUGGAACUGAGACACGGUCCAGACUCCUACGGGAGGCAGCAGUGGGGAAUAUUGGGCAAUGGGGGUAACCCUGGACCCAGCGACGCCGCGUGAGGGACGAAGGUUUUCGGAUCGUAAACCUCUGUUGUACGGGAAGAAGGAAUUGACGGUACCGUACGAGAAAGCCCGGCAAACUACGUG
rnacentral:rRNA from 1 species